rnacentral:rRNA from 1 species
GACGAACGCUGGCGGCGUGCUUAACACAUGCAAGUCGAGCGGAAAGGCCCUUCGGGGUACUCGAGCGGCGAACGGGUGAGUAACACGUGAGCAACCUGCCCUUAGCUCCGGGAUAGCUCCGGGAAACCGGAAUUAAUACCGGAUAUGACCACGGCCGACAUCUGCCAUGGUGGAAAGGAUUCCGGCUAAGGAUGGACUCGCGGCCUAUCAGCUAGUUGGUGGAGUAACGGCCCACCAAGGCGACGACGGGUAGCCGGCCUGAGAGGGCGA